UACGUAGGGUGCAAGCGUUAAUCGGAAUUACUGGGCGUAAAGCGUGCGCAGGCGGCUUUGCAAGACAGAUGUGAAAUCCCCGGGCUGAACCUGGGAACUGCAUUUGUGACUGCAUGGCUAGAGUGCGGCAGAGGGGGAUGGAAUUCCGCGUGUAGCAGUGAAAUGCGUAGAUAUGCGGAGGAACACCGAUGGCGAAGGCAAUCCCCUGGGCCUGCACUGACGCUCAUGCACGAAAGCGUGGGGAGCAAACAGG
rnacentral:rRNA from 1 species